rnacentral:rRNA from 1 species
GAUGAACGCUAGCGGCAGGCCUAAUACAUGCAAGUCGAACGGGUGGUCGCAAUCCCCCUCGUGACGCACGGGUGCGUAACGCGUAACCAACCUGCCCCGAUCUAGGGGAUAGCCCGCCGAAAGGCGGAUUAAUACCGCAUAUACCCGCAGCCUGACAUCAGGCAACGGGGAAAGAUUUAUUGGAUCGGGAUGGGGUUACGGGACAUUACCUAGUUGGCGGGGUAAGGGCCCACCAAGGCGACGAUGUCUAGGGGACCUGAGAGGGUGAUCCCCCACACUGGGACUGAGCAACGGGCCAGACUCCGACGGGAGGCAGCGGUAGGGAAGGUUGGGCGCGGUGCGGGAGCCUGACCCAGCCACGCAGGGUGGCGGAUGAAGGGCUGCUUGGGUGUAAACGGCUUUACUCAGGGAAGAAAAAGAUCUCGCGAGGUAUACUGACGGUACCUGAGGAAUAAGCACCGGCUAACUCCGUG